UGCCUUUGUCUCUGUCACGCCUUGUCCUUGUCACAACGAGAUCUCUGUCUUUGUGCAGCAAAUACCAGCAGGUCUUCCAUCUACUAAAGACAGGAUGUCAUGUGGCUGAAAAAUUUCCAAAAACACUUCCCUGGUGCUUGGAUCUGUCAAGGUUCCUGAGCAGGCUGCAGAUGUUGAGCCUUAUUUCCUGAUAUAAACAUGAUGCUGAUCAAUUAUUAGUCAGCGGACACAUUUUCAUUACUGAUGGCAUAAGUCACUGACCUUCUGUCUGUAAGUUGGUUCAUGAUUGUUUGUCUGGUUCAAACUGGUUCAGUGCUUUCCUGAGCACACAGUUUUCAGGUCACUUGGAUUGUAGCCUGUUUCAAGUUAAAGUCAUUGCAGACCUACAAUUUUAAAAUUGUAAUGGCAAUUGUUACGGGGUAUCAAUCAAAAUGAAACUGAAUGGAAUGCAUCUACAUCAGUUCAAUCGACUGGUAGAUCUUUAUCACGGUCUCAGUAAAUCCCGAAUAUAACAGUAAAAUAACUACAAAAAUGUAGUUUAUCCAUUUAACCAUUUUUUGUACUCUAUUUUUUUGUACUUAUUUUUCUGUUAUUUUUGGGAUCUACUGGGACACUGAUAAUGAAAAAUACAUCUCCCACAGGCAGGGGUGUAAAUAGUAAAUAGUCCUUCAUCCACAGGUCAAUCAAGGUGUGGAUGAAGGACCACCAGAUCAAGAUUCAGUCAUGGCCAGCCCAGUCUCCAGACCUGAACACCACUGAAAACCUCUGGGAUAUGAUCAAGAGGAAGACAGGUGGUCAUAAGCCAUCAAACAAAGCAGAGCUGCUCAAUUUUUUCAAUAUUAUGAAGCUGCAGACUUGGAGCCUGAGCCUGCUGCAUCUACAGUCCCGCACAGAGUCCCGCAUUCUUAGCCACCUCGUAAAAUACGUACAAAUCGGUCGAUUUGUCUAAACCCCUGUGUCGGUUAGGUUUAGGGGCGGGGUUAGGUGUAGGUCAUUCGUACAAAUUCAUACGGGUUGCAAGGGGUCUGAGAAUGCGGGACUCUGGGCGCGGGACUGUAGAUGCAGCAGGCUCCGAGUCUGCAUCUUCAUACUACUCAAUUUUUUUGCACUAGGAGUGACAUAAAGUCACCUAACAGCAAUGUGAAAGCUGCGAUUGAAAAUCAGGGUUAUUGCACCAAAUAUUGAUUUCUGAACUCUUCCUAAGUUAAAAUGCUAGAAUUGGUUUGUUUAAAAAUGAAUAUGAACUUGUUUUCUUUGGAUUAUUUGACCUCUAAAAACAUCUGCAUCUUUUUUGCUAUUUUGACCAGUUGUCAUUUUCUGCAAAACAGAUGCUCUAAAUGACAGUGUUUAUUGGGAAUUAGGAAGAAAUGUUGUCAGUAGUUUCUUUUAUAAAAACAAAAAAUGUUCAUUUCAU
ensembl:lncRNA